AAGUCGUAACAAGGUUUCCGUAGGUGAACCUGCGGAAGGAUCAUCAAUGAAUUCUAAUAUUCAAACUGGCUUUGGUGACCUUUUUGGCCAUGUGCUGGAAGGGUUGUCACUGCCUAUCAACCACCAGUCUUUGUCUUUGCGGAAGGUGUCUUUUGGUUGAGCCCAAGAGCCCUUUUUGCGAUCGACUUUGACUUUUUUUGAGUUUGGGUAGGUUCGCUUGUAGGUUUUUUUGGGAACUUGCAACAACCCUCCAUUCUCGUCAUUGUGGGCAACACAAAUUUAAAAUUGAUACAACUUUUAACGAUGGAUCUCUUGGCUCCC
rnacentral:misc_RNA from 1 species